rnacentral:rRNA from 1 species
AGCGGCGAACGGGUGAGUAACACGUGAGCAACCUGCCCUUCUCUUUGGAAUAAGCGUUGGAAACGACGUCUAAUGCCGAAUAUGACCAACUUUCGCAUGAUGGUUGGUGGAAAGCUCCGGCGGAGAGGGAUGGGCUCGCGGCCUAUCAGCUAGUUGGUGUGGGUAAUGGCCCACCAAGGCGACGACGGGUAGCCGGCCUGAGAGGGUGACCGGCCACACUGGGACUGAGACACGGCCCAGACUCCUACGGGAGGCAGCAGUGGGGAAUAUUGGACAAUGGGCGAAAGCCUGAUCCAGCAACGCCGCGUGAGGGAUGACGGCCUUCGGGUUGUAAACCUCUUUCAGCACCGACGAAGCGAGAGUGACGGUAGGUGCAGAAGAAGGACCGGCCAACUACGUGCCAGCAGCCGCGGUAAUACGUAGGGUCCGAGCGUUGUCCGGAAUUAUUGGGCGUAAAGGGCUCGUAGGCGGUUUGUCGCGUCGGGAGUGAAAACUCAGGGCUCAACCCUGAGCGUGCUUCCGAUACGGGCAGACUAGAGGUAUGCAGGGGAGAACGGAAUUCCUGGUGUAGCGGUGGAAUGCGCAGAUAUCAGGAGGAACACCGGUGGCGAAGGCGGUUCUCUGGGCAUUACCUGACGCUG